AGCUCUCGCUUUUAAAGGCUACCGGAAGACUCUUCGACCCUUCUGCGUCUUAACUCCUUUCGCGAAGCGUUCUCACUUAAUCUCCUGGAAAAGGACUUCGCGGAGAUCCUCGAUCGCUUUCGUAAGAUUAGAACCUUCAGAGAUCCUCUGAUCUUCAACAGGCGUCCUUAGGAUUUACCGAUUCGCACUGGUUUCUCGCAGUUUCCUCUGUUACUCCGGUUGUUCGAGCACCGUGGUCCCAGUUUCCAUUGAAUCCUAAGAGGAGAGUCCGCCGCGUCGAAGUUGCUCGGUAAUCUCUGGAUCUUUCGGCUUGAAUUAAAAUUCAUAGCUGCUCGAGCUGGGAAAGCCUCUUCUCAUCCAGCUUCCUUGCCUCAACGAUCGCUGACGUCGCGUCGCAGCUGGGAACUGUGUAAGAAACUUCACCGGGGCCGAUUAAGAUUUUAAUUUCACGGACUUACGACCGGAAGCGCCGGCGAGGGGAGGAUCAGCGUCGAUCGCCUCGAUCGCGGUUACGUCGCGGCGCAGUUACGAAGUUGCUGCCGACACGUGCCCGUCGGAACACGAUGCAGCUGACGGGAGGGAGAUUAGGCAAACUUUCCCGGAGCUUCCCACGCGAGGUACUCUUACAACGAAACAAUGAACGCGCUGCGCAACCGAACGCGGGGAGGAUGUCCUUCGGUGACGCGCAAUUGUUCGACUCGACAUUGAACUUUUCACGCGAGUUCCUCCGAUCGUUGUCACUCUUAUCGGAUCCACUGAAUUAUGAAUUUGCGCUGCUACGUGCGAAACGAACAGUGUUUGUGCAUGGAGGCUCGUUAUCGUCGAUGCCAGUGGUGAGAAGAAACAAAUAUUGAGUGGAAACCUGGACCGGGUUCAUAUUCACAGGAUCGAUCUCGCAUUCCAGAGGAAACAGCCCUACGUCGCAAUAUGGAAAAACAUUCAAAGAAAUAUCUCAAGUAUAUUCGGAGCACUUCGAGCAGAAUUUGGAACAGCCCUCCCUGAAAAUCCGUUCCGCUCUGGACGGCACGUGCACGCGCGUAACGCUCGAAUACGAAGUUCACUCCUCGCGGGAUGAAACGCACCACUGUCCGCAGCAGUUGACCAAGGAAAUCGUAGAAGCAUCAGAUCGUUCCACGAGCAAACAGGCGUUUGUUGUUCUCAGUGUUCGACAUUAGACCGGAUCGAAUUACAGCCAAGGCUAACCGGACAAAUGACUCCGCAAAUUUGUCGCUUUUUUUUUCCUUCCGUUGGAACCUGGGGAAUAUUCCAUGCAUCUCGUCAGCCGUUCCGUUUCGGACGGGACGCCGUAAUCUCGCGUUUUAUUCGUUCCCCAGCUUAAUUCGUUUCACGGCGAUUCGCUUUCCCCGUUCGUUAGUCCCAGGCAUUAGAGACGCGUCGCUCGCGCGAGCGCGAAAAUUACGCGGCGCAAUAAAAUUAUCGAUGUGUUUUAAUUGCCGGCCUGGUCUUGAGCGUGUCUUCGACCCUUGCCUGUUAUUACACCGUUCUAAUAGCUGGCAAUUACGUAAUUAGCCUGGUACGCGACGAGAGCCAUUGGCUUCCAUGAGUUUCACGGUCGCGCGUUGGCAGGACGGAGAAAGAACUAAUCGAAACGUAUCGUUCGGAUUUCAGUGUAAAUUCUUCGAAAACUCGAUGCAGGAUAUUCUAAUCUGAUAAGUGUAUGGUUCUCAGGACGUGGACCGCAGCGUUGUCAUUGCAAUUAAGUAAUCUAGAUUAGAUUGAAACUUCGGGAACAAAUGAGGUUUCUGGAUCAUCCGAAGGUCGUUGGUUAAGUUCACUUAAAUGUACAAGACAAUAUUUGCUAUCUAGAAUAAUAUUUAGUAUGACAGUAUAAUAUAACAGUAAAAGUAAUAUUUAUUCUAUUAAAUAAAACAUUUGUCGGCUCAUGCAGAGGCAUUUAGACGCAAUACGAGGAAGAAGUCAUAUUCGAAUCAGUUCAAUUUUCAAAUUCCUCCGUUUCAAUGGACGAAACUUGCAUGGUUAUGUAAAGGCAUUCAAAGUACGGGCAGUGGGCUUAACUCUUUUCAAUUUUCAUCGCAACGACGUGAUUGCUUUAAUGGUUCCUCGAGCAAAGUAUAUACGUGUGAAGCUGGUGUGCUCUUCGCGUGGGACGAAACCAGAUUUCAGUGCAAACAGUUUGUCAAUUUUAUUCGGUACAUACUCAUCAAAGUCUCUUACAAAUAAACUGAAUCUGUUUAUGAAUCUGUUACAGAUCCGAGACACGGUUGAACAUUAUCUUGUUCACAAAGGUUCCAUACACUUGAAACUUUCUUAAUGAGAGUCUGAAGAUCUUCCAUGGCAAUUAGCGUGUCCCAUCCAUCCGACAUUGUACUCGUUCGGUACUUCACCGUGAAAAUUUCCAAGCCCGUGCGAGACACCGGAAUUCGGGCAACGAAACAGCCGCAACGUCGAGGAGCCAGCUAAUAAUAUCUUCGCCGCGUUGCAUCAGAUUAUAUCGAAACAAUUUGUCAUCGAGAGGGUGAGGUGUCACUUAAGCUUCAUAGCGGUUGAUCGCAAGCGGCGCGUGUCCGCCGGGCUUGAAGACACUUCCCCGGUAAAGGAAGUCUUAACGAACAGUGAACGGCUCUAUUCGAGGUAAUUCGAACGUGCUUAUUGUUCGUAACAGCCGCGUAACUGGCCGUUUUACAGCGCAUAAA